AUUGAACGCUGGCGGCAGGCCUAACACAUGCAAGUCGAGCGAGCGGCGGACGGGUGUGUGAUGUCUGGGGAUAUGCCCGAUAGAGGGGGAUAACUACUGGACACGCUGGCUAAUAUCGCAUACUGUAUCAUAAACCCCUAUGGGAUUAGCUCGUGGGUAUGGUAAUGGCUUACCUAGGCGACGAUCCCUAGCUGGUCUGAGAGGAUGAUCCGCCACACUGGGACUGAGACACGGCCCAGACUCCUACGGGAGGCAGCAGUGGGGAAUAUUGCACAAUGGGCGCAAGCCUGAUGCAGCCAUGCCGCGUGUAUGAAGAAGGCCCUAGGGUUGUAAAGUACUUUCAGUCGGGAGGCGUUACCGACAGAAGAAGCACCGGCUAACUCCGUGCCAGCAGCCGCGGUAAUUC
rnacentral:rRNA from 1 species